UUGAACGCUGGCGGCAGGCCUAACACAUGCAAGUCGAGCGCGAAAGGUUUUCGGACUGAGUAAAGCGGCGGACGGGGGAGUAACGCGUGGGAAUCUGCCCAGUAGUGGGGGACAACGGCCGGAAACGGCGGCUAAUACCGCAUACGCACUCAGGGGCAAAGGGGGGGCACUUGGGACCUCUCGCGAUCGGAUGAGACCGCGCAGGGUUAGCUAGUUGGUAGGGUAAAGGCCUACCAAGGCUACGAUCUGUAGCUGGUCUGAGAGGAUGAGCAGUCACACUGGAACUGAGACACGGUCCAGACUCCUACGGGAGGCAGCAGUGGGGAAUAUUGGACAAUGGGGGCAACCCUGAUCCAGCCAUGCCGCGUGUGUGAAGAAGGCCUUAGGGUCGUAAAGCACUUUCAGUGGGGAGAAAGGUUUGUCACCUAAUACGUGAUGAAAUUGAUGUUACCCACAGAAGAAGCACCGGCUAACUCCGUGCCAGCCGCCGCCGUAA
rnacentral:rRNA from 1 species